CUCAAGACAAUGCAAGAAAGGAUGACAGCCAGAAUCACAAACGAUCCAAGUCUGUUAAAAGUAUGUGUAACUGGCCCCCU